GUAGGGUGCGAGCGUUAAUCGGGAAUUACUGGGCGUAAAGCGUGCGCAGGCGGUUUUGUAAGACAGGCGUGAAAUCCCCCGAGCUCAACUUGGGAAUGGCGCUUGUGACUGCAAGGCUAGAGUAUGUCAGAGGGGGGUAGAAUUCCACGUGUAGCAGUGAAAUGCGUAGAGAUGUGGAGGAAUACCGAUGGCGAAGGCAGCCCCCUGGGACGUCACUGACGCUCAUGCGCGAAAGCGUGGGGAGCAAACAGGAUUAGAUACCCUGGUAGUCCACGCCCUAAACGAUGUCAACUAGUUGUUGGGGAUUCAUUUCUUCAGUAACGUAGCUAACGCGUGAAGUUGACCGCCUGGGGAGUACGGUCGCAAGAUUA
rnacentral:rRNA from 1 species